GUAGCGAUGGCUCAGUGGUUAAGAGCACUGACUGCUCUUCAGAGGUCCUGAGUUCAAUUCCCAGCAACCACA
rnacentral:tRNA from 1 species